AACGAACGCUGGCGGCAGGCCUAACACAUGCAAGUCGAACGAGAAGCCACCUUCGGGUGGUGGACAGUGGCAGACGGGUGAGUAACGCGUGGGAACGUGCCUUUCGGUUCGGGAUAACCCAGGGAACUUGGGCUAAUACCGGAUACGCCUCCGGGGAAGGAUUCAUUGCCGAAAGAUCGGCCCGCGUCGGAUUAGCUAGUUGGUGGGGUAAAGACCUACCAAGGCGACGAUCCGUAGCUGGUCUGAGAGGANGACCAGCCACACUGGGACUGAGACACGGCCCAGACUCCUACGGGAGGCAGCAGUGGGGAAUAUUGGACAAUGGGCGCAAGCCUGAUCCAGCCAUGCCGCGUGGG
rnacentral:rRNA from 1 species